CUGCUGCUGCUGCUGCUAUUUCUAAAGCUAGAUCCUCCCCUUCAGAGCGACUGUGCCAGGAGGAGGAGGGCUUUUACUACUCUGGGGAGUUUAACCCUCUGCCACUGUCUCUCGGCGCUGCAAGCAAUUCCAGCUACUAAAUACCCUGCAACAAGUAGCUUUUUGGCCUCCGCCGUUUGACUUUCGAUUUGGUAGCCCUUUUGGAAAUGUUCGUGGACUUUUUUCCUGCAGCAGAUUCCAUCAUUUUGUAUAUUAUUUGGAGUUAUUGCGCAUUGCGUUUGUAUAAGUGUUUCGGUAGCUACUGUUUUUAACGUACUCCACGGCAUGUUGCAUUGGCUCUUCGCCAUGUCGUCCCUCUUUAGAAGAUCAGGAUGUGUUUCUUCAUGCUGAAGAUGAAGAUGGCUGUGUUUUCGGUGACCGCUGUGCGUCUGUGGUGGCAAUAGCUCGCUUAGUAUCUCGUCACGUCGCUUUUCUUUUACUGCCUCUUUUCUUUCUUGCUAAGAGACACACACAAAUACUCCUAGACUUUUUCACUCCUCUUACCAUUUAUGUCCCCCUCUCCCUUUCUCUCCCAAUCCCUCUUUCUUUCUUCCUUUCUAACUUUCUCUCUCUAGCUGUCCCGCUCUCUUUCUCUCUCCCUCUCUUCCUCUUUCCUUCCUGUGUUAGGAGAGUAGGAGGGCGGUGCAGCAGUGGCAGAGGGUUUUUUGGGACAGGUGCCAAUUUCAAACAAAAGACACAACAACGCAAUGAGAUAACUACACUAUGUUCUGGAUCUACUACCCUGGUGGAUAAUAAGGCCUGUCUGGAUUUCAACGCCCUGGAUUUUGCAUCCAUAGUUGGUGUGUGAUGCAACUGUCUACCCAUGUCCGAUUUGAGGUUGAUUGGAUCUGGGGGUGACGUGUAGAGACGGAACAGACCCUGGAUUAAAGAUGGUGUGAACCUGAGAUGGGUCAAGGAGGAACAGGAGGCAAAAUAUGAUGUUGACACAUUGCACGCAUUGCACGUGUGUGCGUGCUAGUCACCAUUUCAUGUCUGAGCUCUCACAUGAGGAUCUUUUUAAGGACCACUCGAACUGUUCGUUAGAGACAAACCAACUGUCCUUUGGUGUGAGGUAGUAGGUUGUAUAGUUUUAGGGUCACUCCCAAGCUGUCAGAUGACUAUACAACAUACUGUCUUUCCUGAAGUGGCUGUAAUAUCAUCACAGACUCUUCACAUGAAGAACCCUUGGCAAAAGCUGCAAUGAAAAUGUACCUUUCGUGCCUACAUUAUUACCAUUCUUACAAUAUUAUUACAAUAUUAUUACAUCAUUUUAUAUUUGAACAGGAAAUUACUUCAGGUUAAUUCACAUUUUCUGGUUGGACUCCAUCUCUAACCAACUGGUCAACCGGACUGUGCCCGGUCGGUGGUUCAUGGUGUUCGCACAGGUUGAGGUAGUAGGUUGUGUGGUUUCAGGGUUGUGAUUUUGCCCCAUCAGGAGUUAACUGUACAACCUACUGCCUUCCCUGAAGGGCAGCAACACAACAUUACAAGCAUGGCCACAAUGGAGCUCACCGUCUACAGUGCUGUUUUUAAGUGGAGCGCAAAGUAAAGAAGGUAAGCUAUCUCAAAUCUUUGCCUUGGUACUACUGCACAACAUCUGCUAAAUAGAGUAUUUUAUGUCUUGGAAUUUGGAAAUAGGCCUAUUGUUUAUCAACCUUCAAUUUUGUAGUAAUGCAU
rnacentral:lncRNA from 1 species